UACGGAGGGGGCGAGCGUUGUUCGGAAUCACUGGGUGUAAAGGGUGCGUAGGCGGUCCGUUAAGUCUGAUGUGAAAUCCCUGGGCUCAACUCAGGAACUGCAUUGAAUACUGGCGGACUAGAGUACCGGAGAGGAAACUGGAAUUUACGGUGUAGCAGUGAAAUGCGUAGAGAUCGUAAGGAAGACCAGUGGCGAAGGCGAGUUUCUGGACGGUAACUGACGCUGAGGCACGAAGGCCAGGGGAGCAAACGGG
rnacentral:rRNA from 1 species